rnacentral:lncRNA from 1 species
GCACUCACAAACAAUAUCACCUUCAAAUAAUCACAUCACGUGGAAAUUAGUCAGUGGAGUCACCGAAACGCCCGAUGAGCCGUCCUCCCACAUGGCUCAUCCUCUCACAUGUGCACCAGGGAGCCGAUCCCCCAUACUGGCCGACCGGUCUAAUCCUCACUUGACCAGCCCUCUCAUUGUUUUUCCAUUCUCUCUAUUCUUUUCCAUACCAACAGGAG